CUUCAGAAAAAAGCGGGGGAGUGUCCAGAUCCCUCAAAAACUGAGGGAUCCUAACGUUUGUAAUGCUGCCCUCUUCUCCACCAACAACGGGGGCGUCUUUGCAGCCAAGCCUCCAGGUGCUGCCCAGAAGUGAAGUAGUUUUUCAAACUGGCAAAAGAAGAAGUAUGAACAAAAGAGAAACAGUAAAGUACUGAGAAAUAAUUUGUAGAAAUGAGGUUGAGGUCUCAUGAAGAUAAACAUGAUGGGGACUGCUUCCAGCUGCUUUGUUGGCCAUUUAUUCAUGGGCUAGAAGUUGGACAAGAGGCAAGACAGAAUAUCCUUCAAUGAUGGAGAGAACUCAAGAAACCAUCC